AGUGAACGCUGGCGGUAGGCCUAACACAUGCAAGUCGAACGGCAGCACAGUAAGAGCUUGCUCUUACGGGUGGCGAGUGGCGGACGGGUGAGGAAUACAUCGGAAUCUACUUUUUCGUGGGGGAUAACGUAGGGAAACUUACGCUAAUACCGCAUACGACCUACGGGUGAAAGCAGGGGAUCUUCGGACCUUGCGCGAUUGAAUGAGCCGAUGUCGGAUUAGCUAGUUGGCGGGGUAAAGGCCCACCAAGGCGACGAUCCGUAGCUGGUCUGAGAGGAUGAUCCGCCACACUGGAACUGAGACACGGUCCAGACUCCUAUGGGAGGCAGCAGUGGGGAAUAUUGGACAAUGGGCGCAAGCCUGAUCCAGCCAUACCGCGUGGGUGAAGAAGGCCUUCGGGUUGUAAAGCCCUUUUGUUGGGAAAGAAAAGCAGCAGGUUAAUACCCCGCUGUUCUGACGGUACCCAAAGAAUAAGCACCAGCUAACUUCGUG
rnacentral:rRNA from 1 species